rnacentral:lncRNA from 1 species
CACAGAGGGCUGUGGGAAGGAACAGAAGAACCCUGAGGGCAGCACCCUCUGAGAAGCAGCAGGUUCUCGGACAGCUGGGCCCGCAAGGACAGCCUGCAGGAGGCCGGCCCCGGGCUCAGGCAGACUCAGAGGACCGGCCUCGGCCCAUGGGAGGAGGUAGAGCUGGGGAAGCCUAGCAUCAGGGAAAGGGGUUCAGGGUGUGAGCAUUUUGGGAAGUGACCAGCAGCCCUGGGAGUCGGGCUGGCCCUCUGUCCUGCACACUGCUCUGAGCCUCCAGAAAUCCCCUCCCCGAAGCCGGGCCAGGACCCAGAGCCUGCCACGGAGCCGAGGCUGCCCGUGGGGCCGGAACAUCAGCUGUGGGGAGGUGAGCACCCGGCAUGUUCUGAGUCUUGUUGACUCAACCCAGAAAACUCCUCUUGGAAUUGGAUCCCUCCUGAAGCCGGGUCGCCUGUUCCAGAACUGCAGAGCCGCUGGACGGCUUCCCAGCUGCCUGGGUCUCGCCCAGCACUGCCACAGGUGACCUAACUGUGGCUCGUGUUUCCAGUACAAGUUAGAGAGGUGGACAAGGUCGGUCUGAUCUCCUUGUCCGACUCCCUUGAGGCCUAGGAAGAGAGGACAAAUCAUGUGGCCGCAUCUCCACACCAGCUCACACCAGCAGCACCACGUGGUCAGCACCAUUCGCUGCCAAACACUCCGCAUAGAGAGAGAAGCAUUUUACCCACAGCCACCACCUCUGCUGGGUGACUUGACAUUCCAAAUCCGCAGAAUACAAGGAGACCCCAUCUCUGCAGCCACUGUCCUCAGACAAGUGUCACCAGGAAGGAGCCUCGGAGGAGGGACAAGCUUCCUCCGCUGGGCAGGAGGCCGGCCCUGUAUCCUUCCAGCCAGCAGGGAGGGCUCCCAGUUCCCCCACCCCCAGAAUGUUUAGCCCUGCUCUUUUCUGGACUUGAAUUCCCAGGCCAGCUUGUGUCUACAGUUGACCCCUAGCCCACCCAGCUCACCCCCCUCUGUCCUUCUGUGGCCCCAGGGCCCCAGGGUGACCUCCCAACCCCCACCCAUGGCCUCAGAGGCUCUGGUCCUCCUUGGGGUGAGGAGAGAAAACAUUGCUCCUGGCUGCCUUGGGAAGCAGGACAAUUCAGGGAAAUGUUUGUACCCAAACAGCCCCACUCUCCAGGAACUGCCCGGCCCUGCCCAGGAAAGCCAGCUCCGGGCUCCACCCUGUGUAGAAGGAGGCUGGAGGGGCAGCCCGGUGGGGGGUCACCAAGCCCAAAGGGGUUGAUGUGAGGAGCAGGGGAGGGCAGGGCCUUCCCAGCUGAUUCAAUCCUGUCCCCAACAGUGAACUACGAAAUGCCACAUAGUCAGUAUUUACCUGGGUCAAUCACCCAGAGAUAAUAAAAUCAUUGUGACUUGAUUUGAUUAAUUCAUUCAGCAAGCACUCUGUGCGCUGGGGGCAGCUGGGUGCUGGCCAUGG